AGCGAACGCUGGCGGCAGGCCUAACACAUGCAAGUCGAACGAACUCUUCGGAGUUAGUGGCGGACGGGUGAGUAACACGUGGGAACGUGCCUUUAGGUUCGGAAUAACUCAGGGAAACUUGUGCUAAUACCGAAUGUGCCCUUCGGGGGAAAGAUUUAUCGCCUUUAGAGCGGCCCGCGUCUGAUUAGCUAGUUGGUGAGGUAAAGGCUCACCAAGGCUACGAUCAGUAGCUGGUCUGAGAGGAUGGCCAGCCACAUUGGGACUGAGACACGGCCCAAACUCCUACGGGAGGCAGCAGCGGGGAAUCUUGCGCAAUGGGCGAAAGCCUGACGCAGCCAUGCCGCGUGAAUGAUGAAGGUCUUAGGAUUGUAAAAUUCUUUCACCGGGGACGAUAAUGACGGUACCCGGAGAAGAAGCCCCGGCUAACUUCGUGCCAGCCGCCGCAGUAAAAC
rnacentral:rRNA from 1 species